GGAUCAGUUCAGACAGGACUGUGACACACUUCUCUGCCUCUGUCCUUCUGUCUGACCACAG
rnacentral:miRNA from 1 species